rnacentral:rRNA from 1 species
UAGGGAAUCUUCGGCAAUGGACGAAAGUCUGACCGAGCAACGCCGCGUGAGUGAAGAAGGUUUUCGGAUCGUAAAACUCUGUUGGUAGAGAAGAACGUUGGUGAGAGUGGAAAGCUCAUCAAGUGACGGUAACUACCCAGAAAGGGACGGCUAACUACGAGCCAG